rnacentral:rRNA from 1 species
AGAGUUUGAUCAUGGCUCAGGACGAACGCUGGCGGCGUGCUUAACACAUGCAAGUCGAACGGAAAGGCCCCUUCGGGGGUACUCGAGUGGCGAACGGGUGAGUAACACGUGGGUGAUCUGCCCUGCACUUUGGGAUAAGCCUGGGAAACUGGGUCUAAUACCGAAUAGGACCGCAUGCUUCAUGGUGUGUGGUGGAAAGCUUUUGCGGUGUGGGAUGGGCCCGCGGCCUAUCAGCUUGUUGGUGGGGUAAUGGCCUACCAAGGCGACGACGGGUAGCCGGCCUGAGAGGGUGUCCGGCCACACUGGGACUGAGAUACGGCCCAGACUCCUACGGGAGGCAGCAGUGGGGAAUAUUGCACAAUGGGCGCAAGCCUGAUGCAGCGACGCCGCGUGGGGGAUGACGGCCUUCGGGUUGUAAACCUCUUUCAGUAUCGGCGAAGCUCCAGGAUUUUUCUUGGGGUGACGGUAGGUACAGAAGAAGCACCGGCCAACUACGUGCCAGCAGCCGCGGUAAUACGUAGGGUGCGAGCGUUGUCCGGAAUUACUGGGCGUAAAGAGCUCGUAGGUGGUUUGUCACGUUGUCUGUGAAAACUCACAGCUUAACUGUGGGCGUGCGGGCGAUACGGGCAGACUGGAGUACUGUAGGGGAGACUGGAAUUCCUGGUGUAGCGGUGGAAUGCGCAGAUAUCAGGAGGAACACCGGUGGCGAAGGCGGGUCUCCGGGCAGUAACUGACGCUGAGGAGCGAAAGCGUGGGGAGCGAACAGGAUUAGAUACCCUGGUAGUCCAA